ensembl:lincRNA 4930573I07Rik RIKEN cDNA 4930573I07 gene
AUCCUAGAGAAACCACCAUGCAAAGAGCAGCGGCUGUGUCCCAGACCAACAAGAGGGCUCUGGAUUCUUCGGAACUGGAAUUACAGGCGGUUCUGAGCCUCUGUGUGGACGCUCUGAGCCAUCUCUCCAGCCCCACAUGGCUGGCUUUAGUCUGUCCUGCGGUUGAAAUCUUAAGUGAAUAUACAAGAUUCAAAAUUCAUGAGAAAUUAUCAAAAUUGUGAAUGAGGCUAGAGCAGGGAGUGUGGUACUAGAGGCUGAAGCAAAGAGAGAAGCUGGAGCAGAUACCAGAACUUCUUCAGAGCUCUGCUACUGUGUCCGACUUCCUCUUCAGUGGAGGGAGCCGCCGUGCUUGGCAAUCUCUCUCCCGACUAGGAAAUGUUCUUAAAUGGUGCUUAAUUAAGUCUUGAGGAAGA